UGAAGAAGACAGGGUACCUUCAAACUGAUAAAUGCGAGUUUAUGGCCGCGAUCGGCCGAGCCUUCGAUUUUUACCCUCCCAAUUUUAUGCUUUUGAAACACCGGUAUGUGGCAUGAAGCGAAGAAACAAGAACGGAAGAUCCAUGGGAUUAUCGUGGAUUACAGGAAAAGAGCAGAGAGGAGAAGGGAAUUUUAUGAGAAGAUUAAACAAGACCCGACGCAGUUCUUGAGAGUCCAUGCAGCGGCAUGCAAGAUUCACCUAGACCCAGCCGUUGCCUUGGCUGCCGAAGGACCAGGCACAAUGAUGCCUUGGCAAGGGGACACCAGCGUCAUGAUUGACCGCUUCGAUGCUCGGGCCCAUCUGGACUUCAUCUCUGGCCAGAGUGUCAUAUCAGCCAUCUCCCCGACUCCGCAGGAACCGGACGAAGACAAGUGCUUCUAUGAGCGGUAUCGAACUCUAGUGCAGAAUGAGGGUGCCGGAAUUUCUGAGGAGCAGUGUCUCAACCAAAUCAGAGUGGAUGAGAUGUUCCCGGAUGUCACUGGUCAGAAGCCGAAUGACGACAAAGAAAAACUGAAGGGAAAGAGGGCAGCCAUUGGCUUUAGCUAUGACGAUGGUAGCAAGGAGGCAGGGGAGGAGGAAGAUGAGGAGGAGGAGGGAGAGGAUUCCCAAGACAGUGAUGAUGACAGCUCCUCCGAUACAAGUCUCAGUGAUAUUGAUAUUGAUAUCAAUGUAGAUGUGGAUGAACUGACUGAUGAACAGAAGGCAGAACUCAAUUCUGUCGGUGAGCGGUAUGGCAUGAAGCCCAAUGAAUAUGUCAGAAUGCUAGAAAGGGACAAACAUGAGCUGGAUAUGCAGAAGAGAUUCAAAGAGAUUGAAGAGGAGAAAGCACUGUAUUCAGGAAGAAAAUCCAGAAGGGAACGGCGAAUGCUUGUAGAGAAAAGACUUCGAGCAAGAGGAGAUGACAAGUUGAGUCCACCAAGCUAUGCCAGUCGGGACAGCCCCACCUACCAGGACUACAGGCACUCUCGCUCUCGGUCACGGAGCCGCUCCACUACCCCGGAGGACACGGGCAAGGUCACCUUCAUCACCAGCUUCGGCGAGGAGCAAGAGGAGGAGAGGAAAGAGCGACUUGCCGGGACGCAGGGCAGCGGCAAGGCUGCCGCUGCUUCUACAAAGGCUUCCAAAUCCCUGUCUGGGUCUGAAUCUCAUGCCAAAUCACGAAGGCACCACCGACAUUCCCCCUCCUCUAGUUCAUCAAGGUCCCGCUCGAGAUCGCCAGCACGUGGGAGGCCGCGUUACCACAGCCGCUCGCGAUCCUCCUCCCGAUCCUCCUCCAGAGGGCGACAUAGACGAGGCUCCUCCAGCUCCAGGAGUUACUCUCGGUCGAGAUCCCGAUCCCGAUCCCGAUCUCCUCAUCGUGGUUACCGGCGCUCUCGCUCCAGAUCCGCCGAUAGGCACGGGGCCUCCCAUCACUCCUAUAACCGAUACCGAAGGUCAAGAUCAAAGUCACCGAUACGAUCAUCUCACGGCUGGGCGGGGAGGCCCAGGUCGCGGUCCCGGUCCCGGGAUCGUUACAGGGCAAGAUCCCGAUCCCGAAGUCCAGAGAGGAGAAACAGACAUCUGCAAAGUCCUGGCUCGGUUAAAAGUAAAAGGUCGGGAGAAAGUAGUGUGGGUAAAACACCAGGCUCUGUCGACAAAGUCAAAACAGUUGACACCCAAAGAAAGGCUUAAGCUGAAGAUGCAGAAAGCCCUGAACAAGCAACAUAAAGCAGACAAAAUAAAACAGAAUCAGAAACAGUCUGCGAAAGAACAAGAACAGAUGGAACGCGAAGAAGAACUCCGCGAGAUGACACGCCAGUUCCGCUACAAGGAGCAAGAAAGGAGAGACCGAGACAGGAGCG
rnacentral:misc_RNA from 1 species